rnacentral:rRNA from 1 species
GUGAGGAAUAUUGCGCAAUGGAGGCAACUCUGACGCAGCCAUGCCGCGUGCAGGAAGAAGGCGCUACGCGUUGUAAACUGCUUUUAUCUGGGAAGAAAAAGGCCAUGCGUGGCAAAUUGCCGGUACCAGAUGAAUAAGCACCGGCUAACUCCGUGCCAGCAGCCGCGGUAAUACGGAGGGUGCGAGCGUUGUCCGGAUUUAUUGGGUUUAAAGGGUGCGUAGGCGGCUGAUUAAGUCAGCGGUGAAAGACUUCGGCUUAACCGGAGCAGUGCCGUUGAUACUGGUUGGCUUGAGUGUCGGAGGGGUACAUGGAAUUGAUGGUGUAGCGGUGAAAUGCAUAGAUACCAUCAGGAACACCGAUAGCGAAGGCAUUGUACUGGCCGACAACUGACGCUGAUGCACGAAAGUGUGGGGAUCGAACAGGAUUAGAAACCCUGGUAGUCC